rnacentral:snRNA from 1 species
UUCCUAACUUUCCAAACAUACC